UUUUUUUCUUUCCUCUCCUCCCCGAUCUGAUUUAAAAGUUCUUUCGUCCAAACAAAAAAAAAGAAAAAAAAAAAGAUUUAAGCGUUCUGCCCUGUUGAGAGAGAAAGAAGUCUGAAGGCCUGGAAGCUUCAAACCCCACCUUUCCUGCUCCAUUCUAGUUCGCCGACAUGGGAGCGUGCUUCUUCUGUUGCCUUCUCUGUUCUAUCUCUGUGCCGUCUUUGUGAGUGCGUGAGGAUCUUUUUCAUCUUUCCCUAGUUUUGCUUCGCAUGGCCUAAGCUUCUUCCUCCUCCUUUGUUCCUGUCGUGGUGUGGGGGUUUGUUGGACCUUCUUCUUGUCCCUCCUUCGUGUCCGCACGACUUGUAUUCUAUACUCCCUGAUUCUGGCGUUACUGAUUUCAGGGUGUUUAGAAGAAGAAAGAUUUGAUUGAAGGCUUAUGGAAUGGAUUUUAGUUAUUGGAAGCACUACAGGAGGAACCAAAGUGCCUAGACCUGAUGGCUACUCAGAUACGAGCUUGAGUGAACAUUUAACGAAAUGGGGAGAUCCAACCAAAUGGGGGAGGUGGGACCCACUACUGUGACGCGUGGCAGGUGAGAGGGCGGCGUGACUGAGAACUUUGGGGAUGGCUGGAGACGAAAAAGCGACUGACCUUUCGUUUGCUAUGCUAUAAAAUGAUGCGUCAUAUCAUGUGUUCGUAGUGUAUUUUCAUAAGGCUUAUCCACUGUCCGGACAUUCCCUACCUCAAAUACUUGCUAAUUAUUUUCUUUGGUUUGGCUAAUAAAGUUGUAAUCUUGAUAUGAUUUAAGUUUAUAACUAAACAAAAAGCUCAGAGACAUGUGGAGUUCAUGACAGUUAACAGCAGUUAAACUGCAGCUUACUAUUAUGUGAUAUUUAUAUAAAUUAAUUUUUAAAUAAUGACUUACUAUAAUGAGUUUUGU